UGCUGUCCUGUGAACUGAUAACAACAAUGAAGUGAGCCUGAAAGAUAGGGGGAGGUGGUCAGAGGAUGGGAUGUGUGAAGUCAAGACUUCAGAGGUGAUCUGAUAUUGAUGAGAAAAAGUCAAGACCUUGGAAGUAACUGAGAUAGAGAGGGUGAGGUAUUCAUUAAAAUGAGGAGUCAAGGAUCUAUGGGGCUGCAAUUACUCGUGUAAGUGUUGAAAUGAGAAUGACAAGCAUAGGAGUGAGAAG
rnacentral:lncRNA from 1 species